GGCCCGCACAAGCAGUGGAGUAUGUGGUUAAUUCGAAGCAACGCGAAGAACCUUACCAGGUCUUGACAUCCAACUAACGAGGUAGAGAUACGUUAGGUGCCCUACGGGGAAAGUUGAGACAGGUGGUGCAUGGUUGUCGUCAGCUCGUGUCGUGAGAUGUUGGGUUAAGUCCCGCAACGAGCGCAACCCUUGUCCAUAGUUGCUACGCAAGAGCACUCUAUGGAGACUGCCGUUGACAAAACGGAGGAAGGUGGGGAUGACGUCAAAUCAUCAUGCCCCUUAUGACCUGGGCAACACACGUACUACAAUGGCCGUAAACAGAGGGAAGCAAGACAGUGAUGUGGAGCAAACCCCAAAAAACGGUCUCAGUUCAGAUUGUAGGCUGCAACUCGCCUACAUGAAGAUGGAAUUGCUAGUAAUCGCGAAUCAGCAUGUCGCGGUGAAUACGUUCCCGGGCCUUGUACACACCGCCCGUCACACCAUGGGAGCCGGUAAUACCCGAAGUCAGUGUUCUAGCUGAAUUCAUUUGGAGGAAGCUGCCGAAGGUAGGAUUGGCGACUGGGGUG
rnacentral:rRNA from 1 species